GAUAAUCAGAUCCGCAUGAAGCUGCUGCUGCUCGGUCGGACUCUACGCCCGUCAAGAAGUUUGAAGUUUUGGAAACAACGGAGACUUUUAGAGUCAUUUAAAAAGUGUAGCUGUUCAGUCUUGUCUUGUUUUUCUCUACUUCACCGUCCCGGACCCACGGGGGACCGAGGAGUUUCUCCAGACGGGACCGAAACUCUUCGCCUAGCCGUUAGGAUGGAACUUUAACGAACAGUUUUUUUUUUUGAUCCGUCUCCAUGGAAACGGAAGCCCCGCCCAAAUCCUCAGAGAUCAGAGACGAUCUCACUCAUCUGAGAGAGACAUCGUGGACUGUCAGUGAUCGACAAUCAAACAGCCUUCAUGGAGACGUGUCCAAAACACUGAGAUGAACAAAAGUGGGAUCAUGUUGGAGUGGUUAAACAACACCGCCUCCACAGUAAAGAGUCACAGUGACCCCCUGACCCUCCAAACAGCAGGAGGCCGACCCUCAGUGAAGAGGCGGGAAUGUUUGAGCCUUUAUUGACCGCCGCCGACACUCAGCUCUGCGUUGUCCCCGCUGCUAAAUGACGUGUGUGUCGGUAUGUGUUUGUGUGUUAGCUGUCGGGGAGGACGAGCGGCGCUGAAUGGACGCUCACUUUCUCACAUCAGUAAAUUCGAGCCAUAGAGAAAAAGUCUCUCAGAGACGUGGGGCCGACUGUCAGAGCUACACGGUGAACAUUUGAGUUACAUUCACAGCGUUGGGUGAAAAUAAAACAGAAGUUCUGGUUCAUUUCUUUUAUUAAAAUGAA